AUGCGUCUCCGAGCUGGCAGUGCCUCGGCACGGUGCUGGCGCCGUGCUGCACGCAGCCCUUUGCCUCCAGAGCGGCUUCCACGCCUCGUCUUGGUGCAAUCUGGGGCAAAACGGGCCGGCUCCGGCGGUGCUGGCCCCGGCAGAGCCAGACCUUUGGGUCUGUUGGACGCGAUGUUGGCAGGGCGCUGGCCGUGCCGGCUCCUCCCCGCGCCUCCGAGGCCGCCGGUCCCGAUUGCACCUGGGGCUGAGCCGUCCCCACGGCUCCUGGCCUCGUCCCAGGACCCGCUGGGGGUCCCCUGGGGGCAGCCCCCUCUUCGCCUUCGUCCUCCCUUGGCUCUGGAAGUGGGUCAGGGCUGCAGCUGGAGGCCGGAGGCUGGCCAAGGGCCGCGGUCCCUCCUGCCGAUGAUUCAGCCUUGGCCGGGUGGGAGAGCCCCGGCGAGGGGUGGCCGUGCUCCAGGUGCUGCUCGGAGCCAGGGGCUGCACAGCCCCGACGUGCAAGGGAACGGCAGCGCCGGCUGCCCAGCCCUGCCUCGCCUUCCCCGGGCUGAUGCAUCCUCCCCAAACCCAAGAGACCAAAGCCUCCGGCGUCCCGAAGCUUUGGGGACGCCCCAAAACCACGGCGUCGCUGCGGGAUCCCGUGAGGGUCGCGGGCCAGCGCCUCCCUUUGCUGUAGUGCUGAGACCCUCACCCCGUGCCCUUUCGCACAUCACCCAAGGGCAGCACACCCACCCCGACGCCGUCGCCACCGGUCACCUCCAGCCUGGCCACCACCGUGAGCGUCGCCCUGAACCUCACCGAGCCCUUCGAGGUACCGCCGGGGCUGGGAGCAGCAGCGGGCAGGGGAUCCCCAAAAUCUGUGCAUCCCCAGCAUCUCCCCCCAUCCCUCAGGACGCUGGCGAGGAGCUCCUGCUGGAAUCCGGGGAGGACGGAGCCGCUGGGGCUGCCAGCGGGGAGCCACCAGGCUACGAGGACUACUACGACGGGGACCCUGCGAGCCCGGAGCGCUUCGGCCCCGCCGAGCGGGAGGAGACGGUGAUCCGGGCUCCCCAGGUAACACUGGGGACGAGGACCGGGACCCCCUCCAGGCACGGCCGGACGAGCUGGGGCCACGGUAUGGGGUCCGGGGGUCCUGCAGGCGGUUCGGAGCUCAGCCCCGAGCUCGCGGCCGCGUUCCCUGACCGCGGCGCCGCGCUGCGUCCCGCAGGAACCCAGCCUGAAGGGGGACAAGGGCGAGCCGGCCGUCGUGGAACCGGUGAGCAGGGGGGGCGCACGGCCCCCCGGGGACACUCGGAGCCCUGCUGCGGGUCACCCGUGGGUGUUGGCUUGCAGGACGGGGCGCAGGGACGUGCUGUGCUCGCUCCUUUCUCUUUUAGGGUCGGCGAUUCGAGGGGCCGCCGGGACCCCCGGGCCCUGCGGUAA
rnacentral:lncRNA from 1 species